ACUUCUUUCAAUAAAGACUCAAACUUUUAGUUCCGUGUGUGCGUCCUGAGUUCAUCGGUAAACAAAACCUUGACAGGAAUGUGUAGCCGUAAAAUAUGAAGUACAAAAGCUGUGUACGCCGCAGUUCUUCAAUUGCCCCGCCUGCAGUCCAGAGAUGCUUGCAGUAUCAGUGGAUGGUAAUCGCAAGCUUUAUAGAUUCAAAUCAAAUUCAAGGUACGCUACAUUGUGAAUGACAUGUCAGUUAACUAGUAGAUUGUAUGAACAGCACAUGUAAAAUGGAGAAAUUAUAUAAUGAAAACAAAAUCGUCUGUUUUUCAGCACUCAAGAGCCAGGACAUUUUGAUGUUUUUAUUCAAAAUGAUGAGGAGGUAGCCAAGUUUGUUGAAUACAUCCACACACAAACAAAACAUGCCUCUGGAAAGGGCUCAUGUGGUUCUUCUACAUGGACAGCAGCUAAGGAGUCCUCCAGAAAAAACUCUGGAAAAUUGGAUGAGGAGGGACUGGAAAUAGCUGUCUGCCGCCAUGGGGUCCUCCUUGGGGCACUGAACAUGUUUAGAGGAGAGAUUUUUGCUUACCCUCUCUUCCUCCAGAGGAAGUUAGCAGAAAGUGCCCCAGGAACAAUCUCAUUCCUGUGUUCAGAUGUAGCCUGUUAAUUUUUACCUUAUUUGGCUAAGGUGGUUCAGCAGUGUCCUGAGCACAGGAAUCUGCUGUCCAUGCGUCCCUUUCUUUCAGUUAUGCAUGCGAAGGCACACUCUGGGAAAUGCGAGGUACAUUUCAGCUUUACUGACUAAUUUAAUAGGUGUACAAUAGUUCAUUUAUAAACAACUUCUAAUGUAUCAACUUAUUAGAUCAAAUGGGGAGGUGCGUUCCAGGAAGGUGUGGGUUCAACUAUCGGAGAAGAGGUUGAACAGGUAAACAGUUUCCUGUCUAGGGCAGCCAUCACCACAAAGUACAUGUCUAAAGCAGGAUGAAAAGACAUGCUUACCCUCUUGGCUUUAGGGUGGAAUGAAAGGAAGUUGGAAAACCUGAGUCGCACUUUAAGCCAGAGAUACUUAAAGUUGUUGUUGUCUUUUCUAAUUAUUAGACUGUAAGGAUACUCAAAGAAGAUCUGGACAGCCUGAAUGCUGCAAAAAAGGAGCUUGGCAUUGAUGAUGACACAGUGCAGCUGUGGGUGGCUGAUGUGCAGAAGUGGGCAGAGGAAACUGAUCAAAGUGAUGGUAGCCUUGGUGCACUACAGGCACGGAUAGAGGAGCUGGCUGUCCUCGUCAAAGUACGCAGCCUAAACCUUUACAAACAAACAGAUAGCAACAAGAGGCGACAAGAUACGAAGAGUCAUUUUAAAAGACAAAAAACGCCUGGCAGCAGCUAUUGCUGAGUACAAUCAUCUGGCUGAACCGUCUGGACAAAUUGUGUCCACUGAUGGCAUUAUCCAGACUGACAUGUGGCCUUGGCGAAGUGAAAACCUUCACACCAAAAGGAUGGUAUUUGAUAAGUUUAUGGCUGUGCAACGCCUGAAGGAGGAAGAAGUAAUCCUCUGUAAGGAAAUGCUGCAACACUGGAUAGCACUAAAGAUACAAUACUUGACACUGGGAGCCCUUUCUUCAAACUCCUCUCUUGUUGACCUCUCUGAGGAUGCCCAAAAAGGACUGCAGUGUCUGGUUCAUAAGAGGCUCAGCAAACUGAAAGCAGAAAUGUGUUUAGUCAAGGGCCAUUACAACACUAUCCUGAAUGAUAACUCACACCUGGAGAUGGAGUUGGAAGAAGAAGACAUAGAACUUGAUACUAUAUACUCUGAUUUCAGCUCUUCUGAUGAGGACUCUGACUGAAUGUCAUCUGCCAUCAAAAAUGCUUCAAUUACUGUUGUCGUUGUGGUUGUUGACGUGUUGAUGGUUGUGGUUGCUGUGGUUGAGUAUGUUGUAUGAUGCUUGUGUCCUUGGGGUUUUGUUGUGUACAAAGUUUAACAGGGUUUCUAUGGCUUUGGAUCAAAUUGUCAUUAAGCAAUAAUCAAUGUGUGUUAAUGUGUUAAAUAAUUAAGAUGUCAAACUUCACACAUAGCUAAAUCCUCAUCUGUCUAUAAAAGAUUGUGUCCAUAAUACAGACAGUCAAAUGUUGUGUAUUUACAAGUUGCAGUCAGACAGCUUUACAUGUUUUCCAGUCUUAUGUGGGUUUAUUUUUUUUAUUAUUAUUUUUUAAACUUGACAUUGCAUUGCAUUGCCCAUUGCCCAUUAAUCCCCGCCC